rnacentral:rRNA from 1 species
CCAGGACGUUGAUAGGCUGGGUGUGGAAGCGCAGUAAUGCGUUAAGCUAACCAGUACUAAUUGCUCGUGAGGCUUGACCCUA